CCGGUCCCGGUCCCGCUGCCCGCGCUGCGGCUGCUCCGCGGUGUCAGCGCCCGGCCCGGUGACUGCCCCGCCCGGCCUCGGGGCGGGUGAAGGGGAAUGCGUCGGCUGAACCCGGGAUCGCCUGGGAGGCGCCUGGUCCUGCCCGGGACCGGCCUGGCACCGUCUGCUCGUCCUUCCGGCCAGGGCGGCUCCGGUGCUCAGUUACCGCACGUGGCAGCAGAGUUCCCUGUGAGGGGGAAGCCGUAAGGCCCGGUCCCUGCCUCGCCCAGCACCGACCUCAGGGAUCUCACCUCCCCCCGGACCGUUUCUCGCCUGUCAAAGGUGGCUGCGAUUUCCAUCCGUGCAGGGAGGAUCCGAACGCUGCGGCCUUCUGAGCUUGCAGAGGCUCUGAUGCUUUGGAGGGUUCCUCUGUGCAUUUUGCAGAGCAAUCUCAUUAUCCUCCGCAACAUUUCCCUUGCUGUGAUCAAGCCUCAGGAGAAACCAGCCCCGUGUCCUUGCAGAGCAGGCCUCUGGGCAGGGGCCCACUGCCCCACAGCCUGUGCUGCAGCAGCGGGGAGGGAGCAGCGUGGUGACCUGCUGCCCCCGAGGAUUUCCUUGUUUGCUUUUCCACUGGAACUGGGACAGACACGAGACCGCAGCAACGUGCGGACCCCGUUCCCUGGAAUGUUUUCUUUCAUCCCUAAUCACUUCAUCAAAAUCCAUAAAUUCGCUUGUUAAGACUAAAGCACAAACGUGACUGUACUUUGUGCCUUCCUGGCCAGUGUUUCUUUUGGCACGUGGAACAUCAAACCUUUUUCCUGAAAACAUGGAUGAUGACACCGGGCAAAGAUUCGGUGAAGCCGGACAGCAAGGCCACUUGUGUUCCAGGCCCACUGCCUGCUCCCAGAAUCCCUGCUUCCUUUUCAUACGGUGGAGAAGAUUCAGAGAGUAAACCAGUGGUUUGUAGUUCUGUGUUGCCUCUGGAAAUCUCCAUCCCAGGCUCAUUUCCCAGGGCUGGGUGCUGUUAGCACCUCAUUGGCCGGGGCAGGCCAGGAUCCCUGUGGGAAGGGAGCCUUGAUGGAGAUGCCAAGGCUGCGGCCCUGCCAGUGCUCUCUCCUGGCUCCAGCAGGGGAGAUUAGCACCUUCUCUAAUUAGCUCUGCCAUGGUGGAUCCCACUCUGUGUCAGUGUCACCACCACAGCUCCUUCAGCUACUGCUCUCCAGACCAUCCCAGGAACUGUGGAAUCCUCACUGGUCUUGUCUGACCUGGAGCAGUUGGGGUGGGAAGGGAUCUGCUGGGGAGAUCCAAAGGGAUGACACCUUUGCUGGAGGGUGUGAGGACAGGAGGUGCUGGCAGCCUUGGGGGGCAAGGACAGGAGGCUGAGGAGAUGGACCUGCCACAUUUCCUGAGGGAAGCCUGUUGGAGGAGGCAGGUGGUCCCGGGAUGGCUUUGUCCAGGUGUCUCAGAGGGAAAACUCGCUCUGUUCCCCUUGGGAGAGGGCUCCAGGGAUGCUCUUUUUCUGAGCUUUGAGGAGAAAGAAAUCAAGUUGCUCAGAAUCCUGAAACCUGUCCUGGGCUGGUGGGAUCUGCUGGAGUGGCUGCAUCUGGCUGGAGCCAGGUGUGUUGUAGGUGCAGGAGCUACGGAGCUUCUCAGAAAAGCUGGAUGUUUCUAGUCAGGAGAGCCCGGUGGUGUUGGAAGGGCUGUAAGGCUGUUGCUGUGGCCUCUCUGAGCUGAGGGGACAGUGGGUGACGUUCAGGAGCCCCAGCCCUGCCACCUGCUCUGGCACCUCGUGACAGAAAAAGGGCAACACCCUUUUGCUCCUGAAUAUUUCAUAGGGAAAAGUAUUUUAACCAAAGCAAGUCGCUCCCUGCUCUCCCCUCGGCCCAGGAAGCAGCCGUGGGGGUGGCUCUGCAUCCUGCCUCCUGUGGGACAUGGCGGUGCCACUGUCCCCCACCCCCUCUCCACUGCCACCCCUGCUCCCUCACACCCAGUAUUUUUAUCUCCCUUUGUUUGCCAAUAAAAAUUCCCUCCCAGUUUUACUGUUUUCCAUUUGA